UAAACGGCAUCUUCUUAAGUGGCAAAACACAUGUAAUAAGCAGCCUCCAGGAACCAGCCUUCCUUUGGCCCUCUCAUAUCAGAAUACAGUACAACCUCUUAUUCUACAAUUUCAAUCUGCAUGGUUUUACUUACCCAUGCUUCCAAAAAUAUCCCCCCUAAAAGUGUUUAUGGGCCCCUCUCGGUCGAUGAAUGCCAUGUACAGAGGUUGAUUUUGUUCUCUGCAUUUUUCUUGGAGCUGUCGUGUGGUGAAGAUCAUAUCCACUGUUCCUCUGGAAGGGCGAAUUUCAUUCUGGGAUUGAGGGAGGAUGUCUUCUGAAAUAGGUAGAAGGCAGUUUGAGAGGGUUCUUGCAAAGAUUUUCCCUGCAGAGGUUAAAAGGGAGAUACCUCAAUAGUUUCCAUAGUUUGUUCUUUCUCCCUUUUUGAAAAGAAUGAUGAUAAUGGAGUCAUUGAAAGGCUUUCCUUUUCUUGUUGAUUAUAUGUUGGAUCUCACUAUUAUUCUCAACAAACCAGGCUUGAUAUUUCUUGGUUUGAUAUGCAAUGUUUUUUCCCACAGGCUGUAAUGAUGGAAGUCUUCAGUUUAUUCCAAAGUUCCUCCACAUUUCAGGGUGCUCUGUAGGAAGGAAAAAUGCAGAUCCUCUCUUCAAACUGAGUCUCUGCUGUGAAGAUCAGAAAUGAUUUGUUACGUGAUGUUACAUACACUUGGUGUGUACCCAGAUAUAGCCUCACCCCUGAUCAGUACCUUUGUAAAUGGAAGCACUGACUGGAGCUCACUGGAGAGGAAGAGGAGCAAAGAAGUCACGGGGUCCUUUGUCCCUAACCUCACUGACAGUGGAGGACUGACCGUAUGAGGAAAUGCCAGGAAUCUAAGAUGGUUACAACUGUGCCAACUUCUCAGCUUCUACCCAUGCCUGACCCUCCUACAAGAAAAUCUGUUUAUGUGGAGCAUGGCUGACCAUAGAAAAAUAAUGCCGGUGUACCUUCUUUCCUCCAUAUACAGCUGGUUCUUUAUUACUAUUUCAAAUCCAUGUAAUUGGAGAAAACUAGACCAAAAUUACUUUUAACCAUCUACAAUCUAGUUCAACUGAGAACCAGAAAACAAAUUUGACUUUUCCCCUCUCAUGGGAGAAAGAAGCAUGUCACAGCACCAACAAUACAUUUCAUUCAGUCAUUCAUUCAUAUGCCACCUUUCUCUGCGAGUGGGACCCAAGCUUAUAAAGAUAAUAUGCAUCAGCUUUGUUUAUCCAGAAGGGGACUGGGGUAAAAGUAAAUUAUAUUAAUUAUACAAUUAUUGGUACAGAAAUUUUCCAGUUAAAACAACAAGAUACAUUUUUGAUGGAUGAAGACACGGUUCAAUAAAGGAAGAAACAGAAUUCUUUUAAAAGAAUUUCUAACCGUCAUAGACAGCACUUCCAAACACUUACCUGACUCACUUGUGCUUGAAGAAGUCAUGGGGCUAAAAUGGUUUUAUAGUUUGUAAGAGUCUCAAGCUGUUCUGAGAAGCCAAAUCUAUAUUGCUAAGGAAAAGUGAAUUCCCACCUAGGUGAAUCUUUACAUCCCUCAGUCCCAGAACAGCUAGAGAGCUCCUCCUUCGUUUUGUUCUGCUAAUGCUCCCCUCAGCCUUUGUCUAGCUAGCCUAUGCUUCAUGAAAGCGUAAACGCAUUUGAAAUAUAAGUGAUCAUCCACUUUCCUGAGGGUCAAACACCAUGCAGAAGAAGAAAGAAAGAAAAGAUGAGUAGAUAGAUUUUUUUUAAGAAGAAGAAGAAGAAAAGAGGUUUGAAAAUGAAAAUCAAUGGGAUGCCACAAAGUAAGAGGCACACAAAGAAUCCCUGCUCUGGGUUGCCAAGGCAAAUCUGUCAAUAGAGUAUUGAACAUACGCAUUUGACUUGCAAUUAUUGUUCUUUUUGAAAAUGCAACUUGCUUGUUUGCCUCACAGAUCAAACCCGAUGCUUGAUGGGUUCAAAUAUUUAGAUAGAAAUUGAAAGGAAACCGAGAGAGAAACGGGGAGGGGAGAGAAGAGAAACUGCAGUAAAUGCAAUGAAUGGUUGCUGUCACAAGGAGCUGACUAGCAGUUGAUCUGUGGAGACCCAAGAGAGUAGCCAUCUUGGUCUGAUGAAGCAAGCUCAAAAGAGGACCUCAAAGUUUAACAGAUCUGAAAUAAGACUUGAGGCCAAUCCAUCAGAUGCAUGAAGUGCUAUCCUCGUCUGGAAUCAAAGAUUAUUCAUCUCAGGAAACAGACCCUACCUGAAACAAAGACAAAUCCUGGUCUAAAGAUGUUUCCCAACAACUUCAGUAUUGCUUUGAGAGGACAAACUGAUACUUUUUUUGUCCUCCAGACCUGGAAGAACACACUCUAACAGUUCUAAGCUACAUCAAAUGCUGCACAGGUGAUGUCACUGUGGACAAACGCAUCCAGAUUUAUCCUAACCAGAAACCUUGAACGACCAAGGAAGUCCAGCGACUUUUGCGUGACAGAAACAAUGCUUUCAGGUGUGGUGAUGAGGUGAAAUACAGUGCUGCCAGAGCAAAUCCAAGAAAGGCAUCCAGCAGGCCAAGGGAGUAUAAGAGGAAGGUUAAGCAAUGUUUUUCUUUUUUGGAGAAGACUGAAACAAAGAAGGUCAUGAGUAGCUCUGUCUUUUCUCUGUCCUCUGUUAGCAUUUCACCCUCUUCUCUGUGGAGCCCCCAGUGGUGCAGUGGGUUAAACCCCUGUGCCGGCAGGACUGAAGACCGCAGGUUCGAAUCCGGGGAGAGGCAGAUGAGCUCCCUCUACCAACUCCAGCUCCUCAUGCGGAGACAUGAGAGAAGCCUCCCACAAGGAUGAUAAAAACAUCAAAUCAUCCAGGCAUCCCCUGGGCAAUGUCCUUGCAGACGGCCAAUUCUCUCACACCAGAAGUGACUUGCAGAUUCUCAAGUCUCUCCUGACAUGACAAAAAAAACCUCUUCUCUAUAAGGUAACCAUACCAUUUCCUGUUCUUUCUUUUGCUUGCCUUUUCAACUAUUACUGAUUGCUUUUGAAUAGAAAGGAUUUAUACCAAAAUCUGAAAGGAGAACCUGGAACAAUAGGAGCUGGGUCUAGGAACCAACUUUUGGUUGCUAACAAUAUCCUAUGUAGACACUGAAGGUUGAGGGAAAUUCUCUGAUCAUUGGCUUUUUGUUUGUCUGUGUCAGUGCUCUUCCUGUAACGAAGAGCACUGAAAUUGGUUUAUACUCCUGAUUUACACUCCUGUCUUCUUCAAUCAAACUUGGAAAUGCACUUCUCUGUCAGUUUUAUGCAUCUAGAAGAGAAAGCUUCCAAAAGCUUGUGUCAUAAUCAAUAAAAUCAUUAGAAUCCAUAGACAGAUUGAACUACCUGCGUGACUGGCUUAGUAUUCUUGGUAUUCUGUCUACGAAUGGUAGGAAGUUUUAUCGGAAUAAAAAGCUUCAGCAACAACAAUCAAAACUGAGUGCCAUUAAGGAGCAUUGAUGCAGACAGCAAAGAAAAUAAACAGAACGCAUAUGUAUGCCACA